rnacentral:rRNA from 1 species
GACGAACGCUGGCGGCGCGCCUAACACAUGCAAGUCGAACGAGCGAGAGAGAGCUUGCUUUCUCGAGCGAGUGGCGAACGGGUGAGUAACGCGUGAGGAACCUGCCUCAAAGAGGGGGACAACAGUUGGAAACGACUGCUAAUACCGCAUAAGCCCACAGCUCGGCAUCGAGCAGAGGGAAAAGGAGCAAUCCGCUUUGAGAUGGCCUCGCGUCCGAUUAGCUAGUUGGUGAGGUAAUGGCCCACCAAGGCGACGAUCGGUAGCCGGACUGAGAGGUUGAACGGCCACAUUGGGACUGAGACACGGCCCAGACUCCUACGGGAGGCAGCAGUGGGGAAUAUUGCACAAUGGGGGAAACCCUGAUGCAGCGACGCCGCGUGGAGGAAGAAGGUCUUCGGAUUGUAAACUCCUGUUGUUGAGGAAGAUAAUGAC